GUCCCAGUAGCGCAAUGGAUCGCGUAUUGAACCUCUAAUCCUAACAUCGUGGGUUCGAAUCCCACCUGGGAUG